rnacentral:tRNA from 1 species
GCCCCGGUAGCUCAGCCUGGUGGAGCGCCUCACUGGUAUUGAGGAGGUCCCGGGUUCAAAUCCCGGCCGGGGCU